AUGGGGUUUAGUGCAUAUCAAAAGAUAUCGGCGGCAAUGCGGGUACUCGCUUAUGUCAUACCCGCGGAUUAUACCGACGAGUAUCUUCGGAUUUGGCAUGCAUUCUUUGGGUUGCCGGGAACACUCAAUGAUAUCAAUAUCCUCAAUAGAUCUCCUUUGUUCAAAAGAUUAAUUUCUGGGGAUGCUCCAGCUUGCAACUACAAAAUCCUGGACAAUGAGUACUCAAUGGGAUACUAUCUCACCGAUGGCAUCUAUCCCGAAUGGGCAACUCUUGUGAAGUCCAUCAAGGAGAAAAAUGGGGUGCCCUUAACAAGAAAAUAG
rnacentral:rRNA from 1 species